AGCAGCCGCGGUAAUUCCAGCUCCAAUAGCGUAUAUUAAAGUUGUUGCAGUUAAAAAGCUCGUAGUUGAAUUUCGGGAUUGACGUGAUGGUCGUGCCUUAAGGGGUAUGAACUGUCGCUGUUGAUUUCUCACCUUCUGGAGAAACUUGAUGUCCUUAAUUGGGUGUCUUGCGGAUCCAGGACCUUUACCUUGAAAAAUUAGAGUGUUUAAAGCAGGCAUUUUUGCUCGAAUACAUUAGCAUGGAAUAAUAGAAUAGGACGGCAUGGUUCUAUUUUGUUGGUUUCUAGGAUCACCGUAAUGAUUAAUAGGGAUAGUUGGGGGCAUUAGUAUUCAAUUGUCAGAGGUGAAAUUCUUGGAUUUAUUGAAGACUAACUACUGACGAAAGCAUUUGCCAAGGAUUGUUUUCAUUAAUACAAAGAACGAAAGGUUAGGGGAUACGAAGACGAUCAGAUACCGU
rnacentral:misc_RNA from 1 species